UACGUAGGGGCUAGCGUUGUCCGGAAUCAUUGGGCGUAAAGCGCGCGUAGGCGGCCGGUAAGUCCGCUGUGAAGUCCAGGCUCAACCCUGGAAGCCGGUGGAUACUGCCGGCUAGAGUCCGGAAGAGGCGAGUGGAAUUCCUGGUGUAGCGGUGGAAUGCGCAGAUAUCAGGAGGAACACCGAUUGCGAAGGCAGCUCGCUGGACGUUACUGACGCUGAGACGCGAAAGCGUGGAGCAAACAGG
rnacentral:rRNA from 1 species